rnacentral:rRNA from 1 species
UAGGGUGGCUUUAGCACCGGGGAUCACCUCUUCCCAUUCCGAACAGAGCAGUUAAGCCCGGUAGCGCCAAUGGUACUUCUUCCUGAGGGAGAGUAGGUCGCCGCCUUUA